rnacentral:rRNA from 1 species
CCUACGGGGCGCAGCAGUGGGGAAUAUUGGACAAUGGGCGAAAGCCUGAUCCAGCCAUGCCGCGUGUGUGAAGAAGGCCUUCGGGUUGUAAAGCACUUUCAGUGGGGAAGAAAGCCUUGGGGCUAAUACCCUCGAGGAAGGACAUCACCCACAGAAGAAGCACCGGCUAACUCCGUGCCAGCAGCCGCGGUAAUACGGAGGGUGCGAGCGUUAAUCGGAAUUACUGGGCGUAAAGCGCGCGUAGGCGGUCUGAUAAGCCGGUUGUGAAAGCCCCGGGCUCAACCUGGGAACGGCAUCCGGAACUGUCAGGCUAGAGUGCAGGAGAGGAAGGUAGAAGUCCCGGUGUAGCGGUGAAAUGCGUAGAGAUCGGGAGGAAUACCAGUGGCGAAGGCGGCCUUCUGGACUGACACUGACGCUGAGGUGCGAAAGCGUGGGUAGCAAACAGGAUUAGAUACCCCGGUAGUC